rnacentral:lncRNA from 1 species
GCCCAUAAACCGGAAAGCCUCCUUGGAGUCAUUUAAGCUUCAAACGGUGAACUUGCCUCACCCAAAGGAUAUUCCCUUAGUAAUGAAAAGGCUCAGAAGUGGAAGAGAUGUGCCUUGACUCAGAUGAGACUUUGGACUUGGACUUUUGAGUUAAUUCUGGAAUGAGUUAAAACUUUAGGGGACUGUUGGGAAGGCAUUAUUGUGUUUUAAAUGUGAAAAGAACAUGAGGUAUGGGAGGGGUCAGGGGUGGAAUGAUAUGGUUUGGCUCUGUGUCCCCACCCAAAUCUCAUGUCAAAUUUUAAUCCCCAGUGUUGGUGGAGGAGCCUAGUGAGAGGUGACUGAAUCACAGGGGCAGACUUCCUCCUUGUUUCUCUUGUGAUAGUGAGUGAGUUCUCAUGAACUCUGGUUGUUGUAAAGUGUGUGGCACCUUUCCCUUCACUCUCUCUCUUCCUCCUGCUCUUGCCGUGAGAAUAAGUGCAUGCUUCCCCUCCUGCCAUGGGAAUAAGUGCAUGCUUCCCCUCCUGCCAUGAGAACAAGUGCAUGCUUCUCCUUUUGCCUUCUACCAUGUUUGAAAGUUUCCUGAAGCCUCUCCAGCCAUGCUCCCUGUGCAGCCUGCAGAACUAUGAGCCAAUUAAACAUGUUUUUGUAUAUAAAUUACCCAAUCUUAAGUAGUUCUUUAUAGCAACACAAGAAUAAACUCAUACAACCCCCAUUAUCAUUCAGCUAAAUAUGGUUGGGUUUUUGGAGCCUCAAGCAUGAAGGUGAACUGGCUAUGGCUAUACCAGCCUGAAAGGAUUGAACUCUCCCCUGGAAUCCCAGAACAAAUUCCUUCAACUGAAAAUGUCUCUCCUGUCUCGAGGAGCAAGUCCCCACAAAUUUAUUUUCUCACUUUCAUCCAAACUCUGAUAAUUCUGGAAAGAAGACCAAAGAUUUGUCAAUAACAGGCACUCUUAGGGCAGUGUCUGUUCCCUGAGCUGAUCAUAGGAGCAUGUUGGGAAAUUUCAUCAAAUGUAAAAUCAAAGCCUUGUAUUAGACUUAGCAAAAGUUAGCCGUUGGCAAAUUGUGAAAUUGGUUAAGUAUGCCUGUGGCACCUUCCCACUUUCAUAAUUAAUUUUUAUGCCCUCCCACUUGGCUCUUAUAACCCUACAAGUACAAAUAAUUGGUCAUUUGUGUGACUUUCUGUUUAUUGCAUGUCUCUAUUUAACUUGCUAUAAUUUGCAUAUGUGUGGAGACUACACUUGUCUUUUUGGCUACUAUAUCCUUCUGUCCCCUAAUAUUGUACCUGAUUAUGGAAUACGCCAAUUUAUUAAAUGAAUAAAGUUUUUUUAAAUAUCUUGACCCCUUUUUGGAACAUUAUAUAGCACAAAAAUAAUUGUUCAGUGACUGUACCUUAACUGAAUGGAUUGUAUGAGUAAUGGAAGUGGUUAAGAUAUGAAUCACUCUGGGAUUGCAUUUCCACAAAACUUUUCCAAGACCUAUCAUAAGAGGGAGGGAAGAGUGAGACCUCCCAAUACACUGUAUAUUUACAAGAACUGCAAAACUUUCAAUGGUAUGUUUCUUUACUUGUAGCAGGCUUUAGGUUUCAACCUGUUCUCUCUAAUGCCUGCCACUGUCUACCUCAUCUCUGUGACUUCUGUCUCCAUGUAGUUGGCUGUGAAAUAGGAUGCAGUUUCUUCUUCUUCCCUUGCUAUUUUUGUUUAAUGGACACAAGUCCCUAUUUAAUCACCUGGAAAAGCUACCAGAAGGGGAAGAAAGCAAGCCACAUUGAGAGUAUACACUACUCUUACUAAUAUAAUCUUAGGCCAUUUGUACUGUUUUUGUUUCUGGGCCAUAUUGUAAACUCUUUGGUAUGGAACAAUAAUAAUCAAAAUUGCUUACAUGUAUUGAGUACAUGUUAUUUAUUAUACUCAUUUGACACUUUAAACUGUUUUGUCAUUUAGUCUCAAAAUGGUUUGGAUUUACAAAUGAGUACACUGAGGCUCAAAAAGGAGUA